GCUAGUCUCAAAAUCUAUCAUAAUUGUUGUGGGUCUUACUGUAGGAAAUUUAAUUUUAAAUCGCUCAAACACCUUUUUGUAAGAAGCCUCUGUUUUAGCUUCCAUCAUUACAAAGCAAACAGGGAUGGACUAGGUUAAACAAAUAUGUAAAAUGAGAAGUUGUCUGCAGCGUGGAUUAGAUGGCACAACUUUAAAUGUUCCAUCUGCGUGUAACUCUGUACCACCCUCAUGAAGUACAGAAUUUAUGAGGUCAUUACAAGCAAACAUAACAUUAAAUUUACCAUCAUUAUCGACAAUCCAUUCCUGGUAAAAUGGCUGAUUGCUACACUGAUAUCUGUUAGCCAUAUUCAUUAUAUUAACCAAACACAAUUAUUCACGUAAAGUGGUUGGUAGAGGUGGAACGUGCUGUCUGCGAGCUUGGCGCAUCGAAGAUUCUGCGGUAGGCCAUGUAUAAAUUAAAGCAGCAUUUGGAUUCCUAUAAUAAUAUUUUAUAAGUACAUCA